AAUUCAUAUUUAAGUUUCUCAUUCAAAAAACAGCAAAAUUGGUUUGGAAUUAAUUUAAACAUCCAAAAUCAGAAGAAUUUAAAUCCUUGUGUGUACAUAUAACAAUAUAUAGUCUGAGUCUGUGCCAGAUGCAAGAUACUAAAUACUACAUAGAGUACUUGAGGCUCUUGAUGCGGUUAUGAGGAAACCUACGCCAGUUGGAAUGCAAACAAUUCAAGUAUGUGAGCCAAUAUCUACGUACACUUAAGAAGAUAGGAGAAACUGCAAAUAAUGACGUUAACUUCCGCUUGUGUGCAGUGUAAACGGAAUGAAAAGCUGAAUGUCGUCAUAAAUAGCUCGCAAACAUCACAGAGUCAAGUUCAAGCGAAAGAGUGGGUGGACAAAACUCGCGCGAGUCCAACGCGUUUUGCUGGCAACAUUUUCAACGAAUUCCCCAGGCAACGGCUGCUGUUGUCAGUGAGUGUGUGGGCUUAAGCUGAAAAGUGCUUAACAAGCGCAACUUGCUACGAUUGUCAUUGCAACGUGUUGGGUUGCCGCAUUGCAACAUCUUGUCUGUUAUUUAAUUUUUAAGUUGACGCGAAGAAAGCAAUUUUUUUAUAUUUAUAAAAAAGUAAAAGGUUUCCAUAUAAGAAUGUGAAAGCUUAAAACAUGUAAAAUUAAAAAAAAAAAAUUAGUUUUCAAUUGAGGAGCUAACAUAUUCCUAUUCCAUUUAAAUUAAAUGAUUUUUUCAAUAUGCAAUUGCAAAUUACAAUAA